rnacentral:piRNA from 1 species
UGCUACAGAGACCUCAAUUUUAGGC